GACGAACCGUGCGAACGUUAUUCGGAAUCACUGGGCUUAAAGGGCGCGUAGGCGGGUCGGUAAGUCAGGGGUGAAAUCCCACGGCCCAACCGUGGAAGUGCCUCUGAUACUGCCGGCCUCGAGGGGGAUAGGGCGUGCGGAACUCAGGGUGGAGCGGUGAAAUGCGUAGAUAUCCUGAGGAACACCGGUGGCGAAAGCGGCGCGCUGGAUCCCUUCUGACGCUGAGGCGCGAAAGCCAGGGGAGCAAACGGG
rnacentral:rRNA from 1 species